rnacentral:rRNA from 1 species
UACGGAGGGUGCGAGCGUUGUCCGGAAUCACUGGGCGUAAAGGGCGCGUAGGCGGCUGGGGAAGUCGGCGGUGAAAGCCCGGAGCUCAACUCCGGGUCGGCCGUCGAGACUCCUCGGCUCGAGCUCACUAGAGGCAGAUGGAAUUCCGGGUGUAGCGGUGGAAUGCGUAGAGAUCCGGAAGAACACCAAAGGCGAAGGCAGCAUCCUGGGAAGCACCUGACGCUCAGAUGCGAAAGCCAGGGGAGCGAACGGGG